rnacentral:rRNA from 1 species
UACGAAGGGGGCUAGCGUUGCUCGGAAUCACUGGGCGUAAAGCGCACGUAGGCGGACUCUUAAGUCGGUGGUGAAAUCCUGGAGCUCAACUCCAGAACUGCCUUCGAUACUGGGAGUCUUGAGUCCGGGAGAGGUGAGUGGAACUGCGAGUGUAGAGGUGAAAUUCGUAGAUAUUCGCAAGAACACCAGUGGCGAAGGCGGCUCACUGGCCCGGUACUGACGCUGAGGUGCGAAAGCGUGGGGAGCAAACAGA